rnacentral:lncRNA from 1 species
GUUUUUUGAGAGGAGGUUCCUGGAGGUAGGAGUUUAGCUUUAGUUACUCAGUCAAGGGAAACAAUCACAUACCCAGCAAUUUUUGGGGAGCCAGUGGGCCCGGAAGAGGAGCCAUUUAUAAAUAGCUGGUCAUCGGGGUUGGUGAGAGGCUCGGAGGAAAUGUUUGGAAAGUGUGGCUGUAGGUGAUCCAGGAUGUCAGUGCAAGAAUGAGUAGGAGGGGAAGAGGAUACGGGGAGUAAGGAUGCUGGGUUGAGAGGAGCACUUUUGGCAAGACUUGAAUUCAGGAUUUUUGAUAAAGAGGGCAUGGAGUAAUUGAAUCCGGGAAGGAGGAAGGGAGCUUAAUGCUUGGGAGGAAAGGAGAUUUUGUAGAUUAUGAGGACUGUGGACGGUGGUAUUUUGGCUGAAUGUUAAGGAGCUGCUGUCCACAAACUAAGUAAAGGAAGUAUUUAGAAGGCGUUGGUCUGUUAGGUUUGGAAAGGGUAUAAGAAAGGUUUGAACAGUGUUUACACAGAAGUGUGCAGGGUCUUGACAGGUAGAAAUUUCAGGUAAGAGCAUGGCUGGGUUUAGACGAGAGCUGGUUAGCACGGUGAUUUGGGGAGUUUUUAUGAAUAGAGCAUACAGUUGGAGAAGCUGUGAGGGGGAGAUGAAACUUAGUACACUGUGGUGAGUUAGCAUGUUUUUGAUGUUAUGGGUUGAAUAAACUGUUAGGUUGGCAUGGAGAGAUGGUUUUAGGCUUUUAAGGUGAGGACAGCAGCUGCUGCCAAUGCUUGGAGACAGGCAGGCCGUUUGAGAACUGUGGCUUUAAGCUGUUUAGAGAGGUAGGCAACAACCUGGAGGAUGGGUCCUUUAGACUGGGUUAGAACACCCAGUGUAACUUUAUGCCAUCCGUUGGUAUAGAGGGAGAAAGGUUUGGUGAGGUCUGGGAGAGUGAGGAUGGGGCUGAGGUGAGAGAUUUUUGGAGGAGACAGAAAGGCUGGGUAAUAGGCUAUGCAGAGUUUAAAGGCUCAUGGAGAGGGCCUUUAGUAUCUUGGUAUAACAGUUUGGCAAGUAGAGCAAAGGAGGGAAACUAGAGCCUAAAAUAUCCUGCUAGUCCUAGAAAAGAGAGAAUUUCUUGUUUAGUUUGUGGAGGUGGGAGGGACUGGAGGAGGGAUAUGCGGUGGGUUGUGAGCCUUCAGGUUGGCACGGUAAGGGCUAGGCCUAGGUAGGUGACUGAGGGGGUGUAUAUUUGUGUUUUUUUAGGGGAGACCUAAUACCUCUGUUCUGCUAAGAAGUUUGAAAGAGAGAGAUAGUCUGGGCGUUGCAGUUUUUUUGAGAGGGGCUACACAGGAGCAGAUUAUUAACACAUUGAGGGAGAAUGGAUGCUUUUAGGGAUAAGGUACAGAGGUCGUGAGCAAGGGCCUGCCUAAAAAGAUGGGAGCUGUCUCUGAAGCCUUGAGGUAGUACCCACCAGGACUCAUGUGAUUAUACUGAACUGACCCAGAUAACCCAGGAUAAUUCACAUCUCAAGACCCUUAAACUUGAUGACGUCUGCAAAGUCCCUUUUGCCAUAAGGUUAUAUUGGCAUAUGGUCCAGGAAUUAGUGCAGAGCCACAAUCUCAGAAAGAAAAUGAGAGUGGAUAAUGAAGACAGAUCAUCUGGGUGUAAACCUGAGGAUAUUCCAGAAUAUAGAGGUUAGAGAGAUAAGAAAGAAACUAGCAAGGAAACUAAGGAGCAGCCUCUAAGUAGAAGGAAAAGAAUGGUGAGUUGUAAUUGGAGGUGAAGACAGUUUCAAGGGAGGGUAUGUUAAUUGCUGCUGACACAUCAAGGAAGAUGAGGACUGAGCAUUGACCAUUGGAUUUAGCAACAUGGAGUUUUCUGCUGACCUGGACCUGAGCAGUUUUAAUGGAGUGGUGGGGGCAAUGCAUGACAGAAGAGAAUUCAAGACAGAAGGGACUUUUCCAAAAAAAAAAGGUAUACAAAUGGUUAUUGUGCAACGUGGAAAGAUGUUCACCAAUAUUAGUCAUUUAGGAAAUGAAAAUCAAAAGCACAAUGAGUUACCAGUUCACACUCACUCAGAAGGCAAUAAUCAAAGAAAUGGACAAUAGCAAGGGUUGGGAAGGAUAUGGAGAUAUUCUCCCACAUUGCUGGUGGAAUGUAAAAAUGGUGAAGGUGAAGGUGGAAAAACGGAAAUGAAGUAUUGAGAGGGAGAUGGAAUAUAAGAAGCUUUCUGACAGAUAACCCAAUGGAACAAACUGACUGACUGGGCAUCUGAAAUGAGUAAGAAGGAGUCAAAAAUGAGCAAAAUUAUGCUUCUCUGUGGAUGCAAAUCAUAUCUCCAUUACUUACACCCAGGAGAACUUGUAUGAAGUAGUUAACUUCUCUGGAUUUUAGCUUUUUCAUGUGUACAAUGGGGGGUUUAUGCCUCAUAGAGUUGUAGAAACUGCAAAUGAGAGACUUAUGAAAAGCCUACUGAAUGACCUUAUGAAUAAUAAUAUCAUCAGUGGAAGGUGAUUUGAGGAUGUGAUGCUGUUAUCCCUGACAUGGGCAGGAGGGAACUUGGACAAAGACCAAGGAAGAAAAUAUCUCUUCUCUGAAUGUCUUGUCUGCAUUUGAGUGCAAUGUCCUUUAUUCCGUGUCUUCCACCCAAUCAGGGCCCUACUGCCACUUAAGGGGUAAUUUCUCUUUCAAUCAUUAGUUGUUCCAGCACCAAGAAGCUUAGCCUCAGUUGAGGCACCUGAGUCAGGAGGCCAGGAUCCUUGGGAGAUUGACAACAGGAGGAUAAUCCCAUCAGAAUACUCCAGGAUUCCAACAGUAUCUUAGUCUAUUUAGCUACUAUAAUAAAAUACCUUAGAUGUAUAAA